CAUCAGCUGCUGCCAUGUGAGGGCGCCUCUCCAGUACCCUCAGCUCUGGUCCUGCGCACUUUCCAAACCCCUCCUCUCUACUCCUUAUCUGGGGAUAGGCCUUUGUUAUCUAGGUCCCGCUAUUGCUAGGACUCCUCCAUCUUGUGGGCAAGUUAUCUGCUUCUUUAUGGCUUAAAAGCUUCCCACCCAUACCC